GUGUCGAUGAAGAGCGCAGCUAGGUGCGUGAAUUAAUGUGAAUUGCAGGACACAUUGAACAUCGAUAUCUUGAACGCAUAUUGCGGCCUCGGGUCACUCCCUUGGCCACGCCUGUCUGAGGGUCGGU
rnacentral:rRNA from 1 species